UGCGUAGGCGGUUCUUUGUGUCCGCUGUGAAAGCCCCGGGCUUAACCUGGGAAUGGCAGUGGAAACUAGAGGACUCAGAAUCUGGCAGAGGGGGGUGGAAUGCCACGUGUAGCAGUGAAAUGCGUAGAGAUGUGGCGGAACACCGAUGGCGAAGGCAGCCCCCCUGGGCUGAGAUUGACGCUCAGGCACGAAAGCGUGGGGAGCAAACAGGAUUAGAUACCCUGGUAGUCCACGCCCUAAACGAUGAUCACUAGGUGUUGGGGAAGCGAUUUCCUAGUACCGCAGCUAACGCGUGAAGUGAUCCGCCUGGGGAGUACGGUCGCAAGAUUAAA
rnacentral:rRNA from 1 species